rnacentral:misc_RNA from 1 species
AACGCACAUUGCGCCCUUUGGUAUUCCGAAGGGCAUGCCUGUUCGAGCGUCAUUAUCACCCCUUCAAGCCCUCGUGCUUGGUGUUGGACGGUCCGGUGGAGAGUCAUCCUUUCCACCCGUCCUAAAGACAAUGACGGCGGCCUCGUGGAACCCCCGGUACACUGAGCUUCUUAACUGAGCACGUAUCGGAUCAAGGGAUCUCAGGACGCGGUCUAUCUCCCCUCCUGGGGAAAUUUUUCUCAAGGUUGACCUCGGAUCAGGUAGGAAUACGCGCUGAACUUAA